rnacentral:rRNA from 1 species
AUGCCUACAUCCUUCCCCAGCGCAGCCACACGCACGAGGCGGGCAGCCACGGGCGUUGGGCGUGUGCGGCUUCACCGGCGCUGCUCGGUCGCCAUGGCUCUGCUGCUAACGGUGUGGACUAGCCACAUCCUACUGCUACUAGUGCAAGGUAAACAGAUCAAGGUGAAUAGAUGCUCAUGGACUGAUUCAAACCGAGGUGAAGAAGUCAAGCAAGAAGGGCUAACACAACAAGUGUUGCCUGUUAUAGAUCCUGAACUUAAGAGUGACACUUUCAAGAUAAAGACAUAUUCAGAAAGUAAAUUAGGGAAAGAGGGACAACAUGCAUCCACCCCGGAGUCCAUUCCCCAUCCUGAAAUGGAUGGCUCUUCCAGCAAAUCUCCACAGUCAGCAACAGUUGCAGAGAUUGAAGUUCCAAAGCCUAAGGGUAGUAUCACUUGUGAUGAUAAGAGUAAAGACAAUGAUUUUCCCUAUGCAAGGCCAGUCGUCUGUAAGAUGUCCGGUGAUGUUCGGAUUGCUCCAGGAAGCUCAUCAGUCAUUCUCAGCAUGCCACUGUAUCAAAGUGCAGAAGGACGACGCGUUAGGCCAUAUGCUCGCCAUGAUGAUUCAUUGCCGCCUCUUGUGAGAGAAGUGGCCAUUAAAACAGUUGCAAAUGGAAGUGACGCUCCUGAAUGCAGCGUCGGACACGGCGACAUACCAGCAGUGGUCUUCUCGGUCGGCGGCUACACCAGAAACUUCUUCCACGACAUGUCGGACGUGCUGAUCCCACUGUACCUGACUGCCUUCCAGUUCAAAGGGCGGGUGCAGUUCUUCGUCACCGACUACAAGCAGUGGUGGCUCAAGAAGUAUAAACCGAUUCUACGGAGGCUGUCGCGCUACGACAUUGUCGAUUUCGACUCGAACAAUGAUGUGCACUGCUUCCACCAUGUGAUCCUUGGGCUGGUGAGGGACAGGGACCUGAUCCUUCGCCGACAUCCUACAAGAAACCCCAAGGGAUACUCCAUGGUAGGAUUCACAAGAUUCUUGCGCCACGCCUACGGUCUCCGACGUAACAGGCCAUUCGUCCUUGGCGAAAACCCCGGCAAGAAGCCGAGGAUGCUGAUCAUAUCUCGCCGAGGGACACGGAGGCUCCUGAACCUACACCGGGUGGAGGCCAUGGCGACGGCGCUAGGAUUCGACGUGACGGUCUCCGAGGCCGGUGGCAACAGCGUCAAGAGGUUCGCAGAGACGGUGAACUCUUGCGACGUGCUGGUGGCGGUCCACGGUGGAGGCCUGACUAACCAGAUGUUCCUCCCAGCGAAGGCUGUGGUGGUGCAGAUCGUGCCAUGGGGCGGGAUGGAGUGGAUGGCCACCAACUUUUACGGUGAGCCGGCGCGUGGCAUGGGCCUUCGGUACCUCGAGUACCAUGUCGCCGGAGAAGAGAGCAGCCUUGCACGGCGGUACCCGAGAGACCAUGCCGUGUUCAGGGACCCCAUGGCCAUCCAUGCGCAGGGGUGGAAGGCGCUGGCGGAGGUGGUGAUGACGCAGGACGUGAGGCUCGAUCUAGACAGGUUCACGCCGACACUCCUACGUGCCCUGGACCUUCUUCAAGAUUAA